rnacentral:rRNA from 1 species
GACAGAGGUGCCAAGCGUUAGGCGGAAUCACUGGGCUUAAAGCGUGUGUAGGCGGGUCGUUAAGUGUCUUGUGAAAUCCCCCGGCUCAACCGGGGAAUGGCUGGGCAUACUGGCGAUCUUGAGCAGUCUAGGGGCAGAUGGAACAGACGGUGGAGCGGUGAAAUGCGUAGAUAUCGUAAGGAAGACCAGUGGCGAAGGCGGGUCUCUGGACAGUUCCUGACGCUGAGGCACGAAGGCCAGGGGAGCAAACGGG